GACGAACGCUGGCGGCGUGCCUAACACAUGCAAGUCGAACGGGGUGCUCUGGAAUGAGUCUUCGGAUGAUUUCCGGGGUUACCUAGUGGCGGACGGGUGAGUAACGCGUGAGCAACCUGCCUUUCAGUGGGGGAUAACAGCUGGAAACAGCUGCUAAUACCGCAUGAUGUACGUUGGGGGCAUCCCUGAUGUAUCAAAGGCGCAAGCCGCUGAAAGAUGGGCUCACGUCUGAUUAGCUAGUUGGUGAGGUAACGGCUCACCAAGGCGACGAUCAGUAGCCGGACUGAGAGGUUGGCCGGCCACAUUGGGACUGAGAUACGGCCCAGACUCCUACGGGAGGCAGCAGUGGGGAAUCUUGCGCAAUGGGGGAAACCCUGACGCAGCAACGCCGCGUGAGUGAGGAAGGCCUCGGUCGUAACCUACUUUAGUCAGGAAGAAGACGAAGUAGACGGUACUUGCAGAAAAGACGACCGGCGUAACUACGUGCCAGCAGCCGAC
rnacentral:rRNA from 1 species